UACGUGGGGACGAGCGUUGUCCGGAAUUACUGGGCGUAAAGGGCGCGCAGGCUGCGUUACAAGUCAGCUGUUAAAUGCAUGGGCUUACCCCAUGAGUGCGGUUGAAACUGUAGUGCUAGAGUACUGUAGAGGCAAGCGGAAUUCCCAGUGUAGCGGUGAAAUGCGUAGAUAUUGGGAGGAACACCGGUGGCGUAGGCGGCUUGCUGGACAGUAACUGACGCUGAGGCGCGAAAGCCAGGGGAGCAAACGGGAUUAGAUACCCGGGUA
rnacentral:rRNA from 1 species